UCAAGCUAGAAAGAGCGCAAGGGGAAUGCCUUGGCAUCAGGAGCCGACGAAGGACGUGACAAGCUGCGAUAAGCUGCGGUGAGCUGCACAUAAGCUUUGACCCGCAGAUUUCCGAAUGGGGAAACCCGGCAGAGCAAUACUCUGUCAGCGUGCGUUGAAUCAAAUAGGCGUACGCGGGGAACCGCCUGAACUGAAACAUCUAAGUAGGGCGAGGAAGAGAAAUCAACCGAGAUUCCGCUAGUAGUGGCGAGCGAACGCGGAAGAGGGCAAACCGGAGGAUUUAUCCUCCGGGGUUGUGGACAGUUUUUUAGCAACUGGAACUAGGAGAACGGUAUGGGAAGGCCGGCCAUAGCGGGUGAUAGCCCCGUAUCCGAAAGGGAAGGUUGUGCGACUGGAUCCAGAGUACCGCCGGACACGUGAAACCCGGUGGGAAGCUGGGGGGACCACCCUCCAACCCUAAAUACUACCUGAUGACCGAUAGAGGAGCAGUACCGUGAGGGAAAGGUGAAAAGGACCCCGGGAGGGGAGUGAAAGAGAACCUGAAACCUUGUGCUUACAAGCACUCAAAGCCCGUUAAAGGGUGAUGAGGUACCUUUUGUAGAAUGGUCCGGCGAGUUAUUGUUACUGGCAAGCUUAAGGCAUUCAGUGCCGGAGGCGCAGGGAGACCGAGUCUGAAUAGGGCGUAUGAAGUCAGUGGCAAUAGACCCGAAACCGGGUGACCUAUCCAUGGGCAGGUUGAAGUGGGGGUAAAACCCCAUGGAGGACCGAACGCACGCCCGUUGCAAUGGUCGGCGAUGACCUGUGGAUAGCGGUGAAAUUCCAAUCGAACUCGGAGAUAGCUGGUUCUCCCCGAAAUAGCUUUAGGGCUAGCGUUGGCUUAGAUUACCGGAGGUAAAGCACUGAAUGGGCUAGGGGCCGAUAAGGUUACUGAACCCUAUCAAACUCUGAAUGCCGGAUAAUUGAUGGCCAGCAGUCAGUCUACGUGAGAUAAGUCUCGUGGACAAAAGGGAAACAGCCCAGACCCACAGCUAAGGUCCCAAAGAUACGCUAAGUGGAAAACGAUGUGGAGUUGCGAAAACAACCAGGAUGUUGGCUUAGAAGCAGCCACUCAUUAAAAGAGUGCGUAAUAGCUCACUGGUCGAGUGACUCUGCGCGGAAAAUAUAACGGGGCUAAGCGUAACACCGAAGCUUGGGCUGCACAGCAAUGUGCGGGGUAGGGGAGCGUCGAAUAUGGGGUGAAGUCGUAGCGGAAGCAGCGGUGGACUGUAUUCGAGUGAGAAUGCCGGAAUGAGUAGCGAGAAUUAUGUGGGAAUCAUAAUGGCCGAAAAUCUAAGGUUUCCUGGGGAAGGUUCGUCCGCCCAGGGUAAGCCGGGAGCUAAGGCGAGGCCGAAAGGCGUAGUCGAUGCACAUACGGUUGAAAUUCCGUAGCCACCGAACCUUAAGUACACUGACACAUGGAGAUAGCGGGACCCGGGCGUUGGUUGACCCGGGCGUAAGGGACCGAACUUUAGUAGGGAAGUCCGCGAUGCUCUGUGGCGAGAAAAGGUGUAUGGUAUGCUAAGGUGCCCGUACCGCAAACCGACACAGGUAGAUGAGGAGAGAAUCCUAAGGCCAACGGGAGAAGGGUUGUUAAGGAACUCGGCAAAAUGACCCCGUAACUUCGGGAUAAGGGGAGCCUCCUACGGGAGGCCGCAGCGAAUAGGCCCAAGCGACUGUUUACCAAAAACACAGGUCUCUGCUAAAUCGAAAGAUGACGUAUAGGGGCUGACGCCUGCCCGGUGCUGGAAGGUUAAGAGGAGAUGUUAGCCGCAAGGCGAAGCAUUGAAUCGAAGCCCCAGUAAACGGCGGCCGUAACUAUAACGGUCCUAAGGUAGCGAAAUUCCUUGUCAGGUAAGUUCUGACCCG
rnacentral:rRNA from 1 species